rnacentral:lncRNA from 1 species
GUGUAUUGUAAGACAAAACAUUUAAUGUAUUAUUUCCUAUGACCAAAGAUGAGUUUUUCCAGCAAUGAUUGCAUCCCUGGAAGCUGAAGUCAUUGUAGUCUAAACGUAAAAAUGGCACAAACGAAUCAGUUUCUGGGCUAUAAAGAAAUGGCAUAAGUCUUGUCAGCACAACAGUUUGUUUGGAAAAUAAAGAUACAUGUGUUUCCCAGGUUUUACGAAGCCCUGUAGCCAAUUUACAGAGCCACUGAUGUCCAGUCAUGUGUCAUUUAAUGGCAGGAACACAUUCUGAGAAAUGCAUCAUUAGGUGAUUUUGUUAUGCAAACCAUAGGGUGAAUUUACAAAAACCUAGAUAAUAGAGCCUACCGCGCACUGGGGCUGAGCCUACCGCACGCUGGGGCUGUACAGCAGGGCCUACCGCGCACGCGGGGCCUAUGGUAGAUAUGGCAGAGCCUACUGCGCACCGGGGCUGUAGGGCAGAGCCCGUUGCUCCCAGGCUACAAAAAAGUACAGCAUGCAACUGCUCUGAAAGCUGUAGGAAAUGGUAACACAAUGGCAAGUAUCUGUGUAUCAAAACCUGUGUAAACAUAGAAAAUGCACAGUAAGAACAUGGUAUAGAAGAUAAAAAGGCCAGGCAUGGUGGCUCACGCCUGUAAUCUCAACACUUUGGAGGCUAAGGUGGGCAGAUCGCUUGAGCCCAGGAGUUGGAAACCAGCCUAGGUGGGCAAUAUGGUGAAACCCCAUCUCUACUAAAAAAAUACAAAAAUUGACUGGGCACGGUGGCUCAUGCCUGUAAUCCCGGCAACUUUGAGAGGCCAAGGUGGGUGGAUCAUUAGGUCAGGAGAUUGAGACCAUCGUGGCUAACACAGUGAAACCCUCUCUCUACUAAAAAUACAAAAAGUGAGCUGGCUGUGGUGGCAGGUACCUGUAGUCCCAGUUACUCAGAAGGCUGAAGCAGGAGAAUCACUUGAACCUGGGAGGUGGAGCUUGCAGUGAGCUGAGAUCAUGCCAGUGCACUCCAGCCGGGGCAACAGUGCAAGACUCUGUCUCAAAACAAAAAGCAAAAAACAAAAAAACCCACAAAUAUUAGCCAGGUGUGGUGGUGCAUGCCUGUAGUCCCAGCUACUCAGGAGGUUUGAGGUGAGAGGAUCACCUGAGCCCUGGAGGUCAAGGCUGCAGAGGUAAUCAUGCCACUGCACUCCAGCCUGGAUGACAGAGUGAGACUGUCUCAAAAAAAAAAAAAAA